AACCCUGAGCCGCUCUGUGUCCACCCCACACCCCAUCCCACGAGGUCCACUCUGGUCCCAGAAGCCAUCAUCCAAGGCGCAGGUUGAGGCUCACCUCAGCUUUCCUUUCCCGCCUCUCCUGAAGAUGCACCCUUCUUCACAAAUGCCCUCUCCAGUCCCCCAAAUCGGGUGCUUGCAGAGAAUGCACGUGGCCAGUCUCAGUCUAAACCAGGCAAACGGGCCCGCAAACAUUUCUAAAAUGAGGACUUUGUUCCAGGGACUCAGCUGCGUGAUAAGAAAAAGAAGAAAGAUGGGGUAUUGUGAAGUAAGGGGAGCAGAAUCCGGGACCCAUGUUCGUACGAAUAAAAUUAGAACACCCAAAGGGACCUCUCACAUAAGGUCUGUUUCCAAGUUGAAGACAAUUGAAAAGACACAAAUACAAGAAAUGCUGUCCACCUACCUCCAAUUACCUAAAAACAAACACUAGGUGUGGAUGGGGAUGGGGGUGGGGCUGGAGAUGUGGCUCAGUGGGGUUAAAAACACUUCCUGCUAUUUAUUCCACGGGACCUUCUUCUGGCACACUUGUAAGCAUAAUAAAAAUUUU
rnacentral:lncRNA from 1 species